rnacentral:rRNA from 1 species
UUAGUCCUACGGGAGGCAGCAGUGGGGAAUAUUGGGCAAUGGGCGCAAGCCUGACCCAGCAACGCCGCGUGAAGGAAGAAGGCUUUCGGGUUGUAAACUUCUUUUCUCAGGGACGAAGAAAGUGACGGUACCUGAGGAAUAAGCCACGGCUAACUACGUGCCAGCAGCCGCGGUAAUACGUAGGUGGCAAGCGUUAUCCGGAUUUACUGGGUGUAAAGGGCGUGUAGGCGGGACUGCAAGUCAGAUGUGAAAACCAAGGGCUCAACCUGUGGCCUGCAUUUGAAACUGUAGUUCUU